ACUUCUAAGAGGGUUUGUAGCUAUUUCAUCUGGAUUAAGCAGCACUGUGUUACCCGAGGCUAUACAGUGCAUUCUAUAUGAUCAAAGCAGAAAUGCAGCGGCUUCUGACGAAGAGUUAUCCUGGCUGAGGGGAACAAAAUAUCAAGGAAGGAGAAAAAAAGAUACAGAGCUACAAAAUACCAGGUCAUGCCACCAAAGUAAACACCCACAGGGUUGGAGUUUGUUUCCUGACAAGCUCUGAGUGAGUCCCAAAAUAUUCAAUCAAUGAUCCAGCUCAGCAUGGAUUAGCUUCCAACUCCGAGCUACAGAUCCUGCAGAGCAGACUUUGCUUCGGGAGCUCCCAGACUUCCUGGAAUCUGCAUCAGAAGUACAGUGAACACCACAAAAUAGCCAGGUGUGAAAAAUGACUUCUCCAGAACAAAAGAAAUAUGUUCACCGCUGGGAGCCAGUGCCUGAACUGGAAAGCAGCACUUUACUGAAUUAGGAAAUUCCUGUACACCUCAUUUCUCACCUAUUUGUGAAAGUACAAUGAAUCAUGUGCUAGUCCCACUUGAGUCCAAUUUUCUAACAAUAAUGAAAAACUUUUUCUGUCACUACUUAAAUUUGAGAACACCAAACCUAAAAAUAUUCCAGUCAAAGGUUUGGUUUGGUUCACCUCCUGAUCAUUCUUAUUCCUGAAUUUUGCAAGCCAAGAUUGUAAGCUGUGAACCACAGUUUUAGUGUCAUGUUAGGGACGGUGGUGAAAGCUUCUAAAUGCAAAGGUUUAACACUGAAGAUGUAUAUCCAUAUCAUCUGGGUGACAGAGCUGAGAAGUCCUGAUUAACUGCUGCAAGUCAAAGGAAGCUGCUUUUGGAAGUGACCAUUCAUUUUGACAAUCAAAUCACUGCUGCUAAGGGUUUCUGGUGGAACUAGAGUGCUUGUCUAGCCAGCUGGGGAUUCACAGGGAUUUUAUGGACUUCCUGUGUGAGCUGGAGCCUGCCCAUUGGAUAUGCAUCACUCUCUAUCACAGCUGGUGUUUUCAACCAAAAGUGUGGAGUAGAAAUUUCAUCCCUGAUUUUUUUUGGCUGGAUUGAUUGUUUAGUCUAGGAACUCUCAAGGAGACUUUCUAGGUGCUGGAAUUCCUCUUAUUCUUCAGUCAGCAGCUGAUGCUGUGUGGUGAACAUCAGAGUCUAGAUUCACAUCUUAGUGAGCAAAGAUUUAUGUUCCUCCUAACGCUCCUUGACGUUAAUGAGUAUUACAGACAUGUAUCCCCCAUGGAUUAAGCUGAGAACAUACCCCAGAGUGUGUGUGGAGUUUGUCAUUAGGGUAUCAGACUAUUAAAACCAACAGAGAAAUUCCAAGGGUAAGAAAGCAAUUGGAUCUCUUCCCUCCUCUCUGCUGGAGCACAUGUGAGAGAUACCCUUUAAAUCCUCUCGUAUUUCCAGCCCUCUCACACUCCUGCACUCGUUUUUGGUUGUUAAUGACUUCAAAGAAGAAUUGAUUGCCACUUUUAAGGCACUUCCCAUAACAACAUUAUGGGGAAUAUGUUGCUGGAAGAGAAUAUUUCUGUAGCUCUAUAGUGGUCUCUAAUGAAGGAAUUUCCAUGUGGCUGGGGGAGACAAGGGAGGAUUUUUCCUCAGCUGGCUGUUUCAGGGAUGGGAUCAAUACAAUGGGAUGAUCUGUACACUCCAUUAUCUGGGGAUUGUGACUCCUUAAAGAAGGACUAUGGAUGCUGGGAUGUGCUACCUGAGAGCAGAGCAGCAGCCACCAAAGGGACAGACUCUGCUGCAGCACACCAGGCUGGUUCCUGCAGAUCCAUAGGCAGGUCCUUGCUCUCCCCUGCCCAGGGCUCCAGGUUUUAAGGAUAUUUUGGGUGGCACACAGCUAGCUCUAUUAUCUGGACAGCCUGGGGACAAUUAAACUGCAACCCAGAUAAAACAGACACAAAAAAUAGAUUCCAGGAUGAAAAUUCAGUCUCCCCCAAAUCUGCGUGUAACACUGACCUGUGGGAGAGAGUCAGUGCAGAAUCACCACAUCCCUUAACCCCAUGAUCUACCCACAGCAAACAACUCUGGAGCCAGGAUUCUUGGAUUUUCUUCCCAAUAUCCCAACCAUAGGGCAGACACAAUUACUGUGUGUCUGGGCUGACUCUUGUCACACAUGAGGUUUAUUAGCCCUGUGUAAUUCUGCCUAUACCAGCACACUGAAAGAUGGAAAUAAAUACUUCAUGUUUUCCCUCAGAGCCACUUGAGACCUUUUGGAGAAAAUUUUCAUAGGAGAAUUCAAAUUUAGCUAAUUUGAAAGCACUGGCUCCUGGAUCAGUUGCUCCCCUGGAAACACACCCAUUGCUCCCUCAGUAAAAGGAAGAAAACAAUACUAACAGAGAUUUCUAAAAUACUCUGAGAUCUGUGAAUAUAAAGGGCUGUCUGUAAAGUGUUUAGAAAACUUCAAAAAAAAGGUGCUACAUAAAUGCAUAUUUAUUGCAGUGCUGACAUUCUUGUGGCAGCUCUGAAUGCAGAAUCAAAAGCAGAGGGGGCAGAAUGUAAGUCAGAAUAAGAAACUGUCAGCCUUUAGCCUCUAUCUUAAACUACUUUGAAAUGUUGCAGACAUUCAGAGAAUCUAGUUUGCCAAUAUUGUAUGUCCUACAGUAAUUACACCAAUCUGGAAUAUAAAUUUUCCUUCCCCCUUCUGAGAGAAGGCAAAGCUCUUAGAGAUACACAGAAAUGGAGCUCAAAUCCCACAAACUUUAAUGCCUGUACCUAAUGUCAGGCAGCAGAAUUGUCCCACUGAUUUCAGUGGCUCUGCUCAAAUGCAUCUGUGGAAACGUUUGUGUGAUUAGAAGUUAAUCAUAAUAAAUGCCAGUUCAUAAGAGAUCCCUGUGUAAACAAUCUAUUUCUGCAUGCAAGUGAUGAUUUUAUUGCUGUUCUGUAAUUCUGUGUAGAGGCUUUGUGAAGAAGUCUUAUAUUUUCUAAAGCACUAGAAUGUUUCUGAUAGUGUUUUUCAUUGCUAGCUCUUUGGGGGCUAAUUAAAAGAAAUAUCUGUUAAAUUUA